AGACUCAUAGACUUUAAGGUCAGAAGGAACCAUAAUGAUCAUCUAUUCUGACCUCCUGCACAUUGCAGGCCACAGAACCUCACCCACCCUCUCCUGUCCUAGACCCCUAACCUCUCGCUGAAAUACUGAAAUCAUAGAAUCAUAGAAUAUCAGGGUUGGAAGGGACCCCAG